AAGUCGUAACAAGGUCUCCGUUGGUGAACCAGCGGAGGGAUCAUUACUGAGUCGUAAAAUCUCCCAACCCAUGUGAACUUACCUAUGUUGCCUCGGCACGGACCUACCCGGGACUACCUGUAGCUACCUUGUAGCCUGCCGGUGGACAUCUAAACUCUUGUUUUUUUUAUAGAAAUCUGAACGUCUUUUAAAUAGUCAAAA
rnacentral:misc_RNA from 1 species